rnacentral:rRNA from 1 species
ACGGGUGAGUAACACGUGGGUAACCUGCCCAUCAGAGGGGGAUAACACUUGGAAACAGGUGCUAAUACCGCAUAAUUCAGUUUACCGCAUGGUAGAGUGAUGAAAGGCGCUUUUGCGUCACUGAUGGAUGGACCCGCGGUGCAUUAGCUAGUUGGUAGGGUAAUGGCCUACCAAGGCAACGAUGCAUAGCCGACCUGAGAGGGUGAUCGGCCACACUGGGACUGAGACACGGCCCAGACUCCUACGGGAGGCAGCAGUAGGGAAUCUUCGGCAAUGGACGAAAGUCUGACCGAGCAACGCCGCGUGAGUGAAGAAGGUUUUCGGAUCGUAAAACUCUGUUGUUAGAGAAGAACAAGGAUGAGAGUAAAAUGUUCAUCCCUUGACGGUAUCUAACCAGAAAGCCACGGCUAACUACGUGCCAGCAGCCGCGGUAAUACGUAGGUGGCAAGCGUUGUCCGGAUUUAUUGGGCGUAAAGCGAGCGCAGGCGGUUCUUUAAGUCUGAUGUGAAAGCCCCCGGCUCAACCGGGGAGGGUCAUUGGAAACUGGAGAACUUGAGUGCAGAAGAGGAGAGUG